rnacentral:rRNA from 1 species
AGUAACGCGUAGGAAUCUACCUGGUAGUGGGGGACAACAUGGGGAAACUCAUGCUAAUACCGCAUACGCCCUAUGGGAGAAAGCGGGGGACCUUCGGGCCUCGCGCUAUCAGAUGAGCCUGCGUAGGAUUAGCUUGUUGGUGAGGUAAAGGCUCACCAAGGCGACGAUCCUUAGCUGGUCUGAGAGGAUGAUCAGCCACACUGGAACUGAGACACGGUCCAG